AAUUAUUUGUUAUACCAACACACUUAAAAAAGGCAAAUAAUACAAUAGUAUGCAAAAGUGAUAUUUUUAAAAACUAACACAAAUUCCAAAUGUAUGUUUCAGGGCCCAAAGUUCAAAGCUCAUCAAUCAAGUCUUACAAUUAAAACAAGAUAAUACAAAUUUCAAGGGAACCAUUCAAUGGUUCGGUCAACACCAAUCAACCCAAGAAAGAAUAAAGUUUCUCUCUCCAAUCAAACCUUUUCACACUUUGAUAUUCAAUUGCUACGGCCCAAUAGUGACUCUCUCUCUAUUACUUAUCAAUCCGGCCCAAGAAAAGGAAUCAGCCCACUAAAAUGCAACCCUAAUAUCUAAUAUAAAAGGUAUAUUAUCUCAAACCCUAAAUCUACUUCUUCACUUAUUCGGCAGCCACAAAGAAUUCAAAAUCUUUCAAAAACUCUUCUCUCUCUCUUAUGGCAGAACACAAAGCAAGAUUUUAGGGUUAGGGUUUCAUAUUUCUUUUCUCUUCUUCUUCUUUACAGCCGCACCUAAUAUUAGGGUUUCUUUAAGCUCUCAUCUUCUUCAUAUCACUCUCAUGGCAGCUAGGGUUAUGGGGUUCUAAUGGGUUCUCUUGUCUUCUCAUUCUACAGAACACGAAUUGGGUUUCUAGUGUUCUUAUAUUUUCUUUUCUUCCUUUAAACUUGCUACAGCCGAAAUAUUCUAGGGUUAGGGUUCUUACAAGCUCUUUUAUUUUUCUCUUUUAAUGGCAGCAAAGAAAUUAGGGUUUUCUAGAUUUCUCUUUUCUUCUCUUUCUUUACACAGCCACGGGUUAGGGUUCAAAGGGGGUAUUUUAUUUUUCUUUUCUUGUUCUAAAUGGCAGCAAAGAAAAAUAGGGUUUUCUAGGUUUUUCUUAUUUCUUCUUGCUAUAUUUUCUACCCGAAAAUACAAACCCAAAAAACCACACAACCAUUCUUCAACUUUCGGCCAAAACAAUACACACCCGAAAACUCAAGAACAUAAACACAUACACAAAUACAAAUACCAGAAAAGUAAUAAGAGUGAGAUGAGAGAAUGCAAACAGUGAUUAAGAAGAUGACACCAAAACUUUGAUCUCGGAGUUCGCCCAAAACAACCGGCUACUUCUCCGUCAAGCCCUCAGCUUGAUUCCACUAAUCAUCAAACAAAGGAGGAGCUCACAUGGAUAUGACAACUCAAAGCCAAAAGGCUCUCUUUUACUUUGUUGUUAUUUCUGAUGUUGCUCUCUAUUGUUGUAUCUCUCUGGCUGUGACUCUUUAUUUUGCUCUGUAUAUUAUUUCUUAUUGUAUCUGAGAAAAGCACCUCCUUUUAUAUAUUGUUCUGUGAUCUGAUCUAGGGCAGAGCCCUAGUGAUAUUUGUAACUGUUUUUAUAACUGCUUUAGUUGUAACUGUC